CAUCAUCUCCCUCCCAUCCUCCCAUCCUCUCAUCCUCCCUCCCUCCCUCCCUCCCUCCCUCCAUCUAUCCCGAUCCGUGCUGGACGAGGGGAGGAAAGUGGAAAGUCAGCCAUUCGCGCCCAGCUCCGGACUCGGUCCCUCGCAUCGCGGAUCUCUCCCGUCCCGUCUCCCGUCUCCCGUCUCACGUCCAGUCUCCCGUCCCGCCUGGCGGAGGUCCGCGCCGGACGCGGUUCGAACAGGUUUGGAUCUACAUUUUGGCUCAUCCAGUCUUUUCUGGGGAAUAAAGUGUUGGAUAGACUAUGAGGAAAAACUGUGACUAUUCAGCACUGUAGCAAAACAGGAAAUUCUCAAACAUGGGGACUGCACCAGAUACCAUGUCUGUUCUGAAACUGUGAAACGGGAACUGCUCUUGAACCUUUUCCUUCAAACCUUCACUGUCAGGGACAAGCCAGUGACUCGCCUCUCUUACUGUCCUUCAAUCCCCACCACACUUUUUUUUCAUUUGGAAAGCAGCCCUUUACCCC
ensembl:lncRNA